UACGAGGGGGGCGAGCGUUGUUCGGAAUUAUUGGGCGUAAAGAGCUCGUAGGUGGUUCGGUAAGUCGGGUGUUAAACCCCCAGGCUCAACCUGGGGACGCCACUCGAUACUGCUGUGACUAGAGUCCGGUAGGGGAGCGUGGAAUUCCUGGUGUAGCGGUGAAAUGCGCAGAUAUCAGGAGGAACACCAGCGGCGAAGGCGGCGCUCUGGGCCGAUUCUGACACUGAGGAGCGAAAGCGUGGGGAGCGAACAGG
rnacentral:rRNA from 1 species